UACUGCUAUCAGUGUUCGAUUAAGCCAUGCGAGUUAAAUGUUCUUCGUGAACAUGGCGUACUGCUCAGUAACACGUGGAUAACCUGCCCUAAGGUCCGGCAUAACCCCGGGAAACUGGGGAUAAUACCGGAUAAACCAUAGAUACUGGAAUGUUCUGUGGUUCAAAGUUCCGGCGCCUUAGGAUGGAUCUGCGGCCUAUCAGGUAGUAGUGGGUGUAAAGUACCUACUAGCCGACGACGGGUACGGGUUGUGAGAGCAAGAGCCCGGAGAUGGAUUCUGAGACAUGAAUCCAGGCCCUACGGGGCGCAGCAGGCGCGAAAUCUUUACAAUGCGGGAAACCGCGAUAAGGGGACACUGAGUGCCAGCAUAUUAUGUUGGCUGUCCACCUGUAUAAAUCACAGGUGUUAGCAAGGGCCGGGCAAGACCGGUGCCAGCCGCCGCGGUAACACCGGCGGCCCGAGUGGUAGCCACUAUUAUUGGGUCUAAAGGGUCCGUAGCCGGUUUGAUCAGUCUUCCGGGAAAUCUGACAGCCCAACUGUUAGGCUUCCGGGAGAUACUGUCA
rnacentral:rRNA from 1 species